rnacentral:rRNA from 1 species
UACGGGGGGGGCAAGCGUUGUUCGGAAUUACUGGGCGUAAAGGGCUUGUAGGUGGCCAACUAAGUCAGACGUGAAAUCCCCCGGCUUAACCGGGGAACUGCGUCUGAUACUGGAUGGCUUGAGUUCGGGAGAGGGAUGCGGAAUUCCAGGUGUAGCGGUGAAAUGCGUAGAUAUCUGGAGGAACACCGGUGGCGAAGGCGGCAUCCUGGACCGAUACUGACGCUGAGGAGCGAAAGCCAGGGGAGCAAACGGG